AUUGAACGCUGGCGGCAGGCCUAACACAUGCAAGUCGAGCGGAUGAAGGGAGCUUGCUCCUGGAUUCAGCGGCGGACGGGUGAGUAAUGCCUAGGAAUCUGCCUGGUAGUGGGGGAUAACGUCCGGAAACGGGGGCUAAUACCGCAUACGUCCUGAGGGAGAAAGUGGGGGAUCUUCGGACCUCACGCUAUCAGAUGAGCCUAGGUCGGAUUAGCUAGUUGGUGGGGUAAAGGCCUACCAAGGUGACGAUCCGUAACUGGUCUGAGAGGAUGAUCAGUCACACUGGAACUGAGACACGGUCCAGACUCCUACGGGAGGCAGCAGUGGGGAAUAUUGGACAAUGGGCGAAAGCCUGAUCCAGCCAUGCCGCGUGUGUGAAGAAGGUCUUCGGAUUGUAAAGCACUUUAAGUUGGGAGGAAGGGCAGUAAGUUAAUACCUUGCUGUUUUGACGUUACCAACAGAAUAAGCACCGGCUAACUUCGUG
rnacentral:rRNA from 1 species